rnacentral:rRNA from 1 species
UAGGGAAUCUUCCGCAAUGGGCGAAAGCCUGACGGAGCAACGCCGCGUGAGUGAUGAAGGUCUUCGGAUCGUAAAACUCUGUUAUUAGGGAAGAACAAAUGUGUAAGUAACUAUGCACGUCUUGACGGUACCUAAUCAGAAAGCCACGGCUAACUACGUGCCAGCAGCCGCGGUAAUACGUAGGUGGCAAGCGUUAUCCGGAAUUAUUGGGCGUAAAGCGCGCGUAGGCGGUUUUUUAAGUCUGAUGUGAAAGCCCACGGCUCAACCGUGGAGGGUCAUUGGAAACUGGAAAACUUGAGUGCAGAAUAGGAAAGUGGAAUUCCAUGUGUAGCGGUGAAAUGCGCAGAGAUAUGGAGGAACACCAGUGGCGAAGGCUACUUUCUGGUCUGUAACUGACGCUGAUGUGCGAAAGCGUGGGGAUCAAACAGG